AUAAUAAUAGUGCUUUGAGCAAGAUAUUCAUCCUGGAAUGGCGCUAUAAAAGGGGACUGUUAUUAUUAUACUUGGGCAUGACAUUAUGUAACCAACAUUAUAGGCAUGCCUGCUUAUUGUGUGACAUGACAUUACACACCUAUAAACGUUAUGAUCGGUAUACGAGCUGGGUGUAUGAUGACCUGAAACACCGUGACCUCAUACAUGUUAGUCGCUGGAAUGUGCACGACGGUCGCUUGAUUAUCGGAACUAUAUACAAUAAAUGUGACAACAUGUGCGACAGCAUGUGCGACUAUAGCAGUAGGGGCGCUAAGUAACACUAGCAUCAGAAAUCAAUGACUGUCAAUAUAUUACCUUGGCGUAUCGGGCCUUAUCUCACUAUGUCAGCACAGACAGGUCACACACAAUACAUGUAUACAUGUGUACAGUUAUGCAACGUAAGUGGCGGAAACAUUUAGAAACCUUAACAUGCCUUCUUGUACAUGAUUUGAAGUCAAUCAUAUUGCAGUGUAUCACACUGAAAGUACUAUAUUCCUCCCAAUGAAAAUAAAGAAAAUAAAAACAAAUAAAAACGAGAAAAGAGCAUAAUAAGUCCAAAAAAACAAAGGUCAUGUAGAAUGUUACUUUGGGGAUACUAGUACUGACUUGCCGAAAGAAGGAAAGUCAUAAUAUUCAAGUCCAAAACAAAGUACGCACAGAUUUCCUGUCACGUGUUUCCUUGAGGGGCUUAUCUAUGGGUGUGACUAUGCCGAUAUCUCUGUGCCUGGCAAGUCUGUUGCGUGCUGCAGGUUAAGUAAACACAUGCACAAAACACACCCUGUAUUGUAAACAACUACUGCCAUGUAUCGACAUACUCCUCUGAUAUGGCAAAUGUCCUUCAUAUUUUAUUUACGUAUUCAAAUUUAAAAUUUAAAAACAUAUUUUUCAGGAAAAAGGCGAUUCUGUUUCCAAAUUAUAUUGUUCCCACUGUGCGGAGUUGCGACUCUUCUGCUUAAAUUCUAUGAGACGAAUCUCUUCUUAUAGUGGACGAACAUCUCGUAAGAAUUCUGAGAUUUGGAUGAAUGUAAAGUAAAGAUAAAUUACUUUUAACCUAUAUAUAGCAAAGAUUAGUUUUAUCUCAACUUACAAAAUAAUUAUGCCAACACACUGAAGCAAGCAAAUGCAAUUAUAUGUUUAUAAAAAGAAAAAGGUCCGUGGAAAAUCAUAGAAAAACCGUACAUUAACAAAAUCAAUUACCCAUUGUUAUUCUAAAUGCUUAGUAAUCUCUUUUCAGCAAUACAUUUGGUCCACUAGAUUAAAGGUUAAUCUCUGCAAAUAAAUCAUUAUGAAAGAAUCAAAAAAUAACCCGAGGAAAACCUGGACUUGAAGCUCUGGCAUUUGCAUUAAGGGAAAACAAUGUGGUCCAGGACUGUGUCACAGACCACGAGAGGCACCAGUGUUGUUACCCUGCUCUAUAGUAUAGUCCCCAUGUAUUGCGACAAUCAGUCCUAGUUACUCACGCUUUGGGUAAGAGAUAUACUUAAAGGACGCUAGGUCAUGAGAGUAGGGGUGUCUGGACGACUCGUUGUGAGAACAUCUAUGCAUACACAAAUUGAUCGUGUUCAUACCCAGGAUCUUUGAAUCAUCUUACACAUAAUCUGGCAUCCUUGUUUCUGCUGUCGAACAGAUUCUGGCAGCAUUGUUCCAAACAUCAUAAACCAUACACCCAGUCGGCGUAAAACGCCAUCUUGAGCACAUUUCAGGUAUUUCCUGUUUACACAGCGUCCAUGUCGGCUUUUCAUGUUUUAAGCUCCAUCAACACAAAAAUAAUUGUGAAAUAUAUCAUUGAAUUUCUUAUAAAUACACCAAAAGUAAUCAAAG
rnacentral:lncRNA from 1 species